CUGUGUGUUGUUGGGUAGGGGAGCGUUCUGUAAGCCUGCGAAGGUGGCCUGUGAGGGGUGCUGGAGGUAUCAGAAGUGCGAAUGCUGACAUAAGUAACGAUAAAGCGGGUGAAAAGCCCGCUCGCCGGAAGACCAAGGGUUCCUGUCCAACGUUAAUCGGGGCAGGGUGAGUCGACCCCUAAGGCGAGGCCGAAAGGCGUAGUCGAUGGGAAACGGGUUAAUAUUCCCGUACUUGGUGUUACUGCGAAGGGGGGACGGAGAAGGCUAUGUUGGCCGGGCGACGGUUGUCCCGGUUUAAGCGUGUAGGUGUGUGUUCCAGGUAAAUCCGGUUCACUUUAACACUGAGGCGUGAUGACGAGGCACUACGGUGUUGAAGCAACAAAUGCCCUGCUUCCAGGAAAAGCCUCUAAGCAUCAGGUAACAUCAAAUCGUACCCCAAACCGACACAGGUGGUCAGGUAGAGAAUACCAAGGCGCUUGAGAGAACUCGGGUGAAGGAACUAGGCAAAAUGGUGCCGUAACUUCGGGAGAAGGCACGCUGACACGUAGGUGAAGUGAUUUACUCAUGGAGCUGAAGUCAGUCGAAGAUACCAGCUGGCUGCAACUGUUUAUUAAAAACACAGCACUGUGCAAACACGAAAGUGGACGUAUACGGUGUGACGCCUGCCCGGUGCCGGAAGGUUAAUUGAUGGGGUCAGCGCAAGCGAAGCUCCUGAUCGAAGCCCCGGUAAACGGCGGCCGUAACUAUAACGGUCCUAAGGUAGCGAAAUUCCUUGUCGGGUAAGUUCCGACCUGCACGAAUGGCGUAAUGAUGGCCAGGCUGUCUCCACCCGAGACUCAGUGAAAUUGAACUCGCUGUGAAGAUGCAGUGUACCCGCGGCAAGACGGAAAGACCCCGUGAACCUUUACUAUAGCUUGACACUGAACAUUGAGCCUUGAUGUGUAGGAUAGGUGGGAGGCUUUGAAGCGUGGACGCCAGUCUGCGUGGAGCCGACCUUGAAAUACCACCCUUUAAUGUUUGAUGUUCUAACGUGGACCCGUGAUCCGGGUUGCGGACAGUGUCUGGUGGGUAGUUUGACUGGGGCGGUCUCCUCCUAAAGAGUAACGGAGGAGCACGAAGGUUGGCUAAUCCUGGUCGGACAUCAGGAGGUUAGUGCAAUGGCAUAAGCCAGCUUGACUGCGAGCGUGACGGCGCGAGCAGGUGCGAAAGCAGGUCAUAGUGAUCCGGUGGUUCUGAAUGGAAGGGCCAUCGCUCAACGGAUAAAAGGUACUCCGGGGAUAACAGGCUGAUACCGCCCAAGAGUUCAUAUCGACGGCGGUGUUUGGCACCUCGAUGUCGGCUCAUCACAUCCUGGGGCUGAAGUAGGUCCCAAGGGUAUGGCUGUUCGCCAUUUAAAGUGGUACGCGAGCUGGGUUUAGAACGUCGUGAGACAGUUCGGUCCCUAUCUGCCGUGGGCGCUGGAGAACUGAGGGGGGCUGCUCCUAGUACGAGAGGACCGGAGUGGACGCAUCACUGGUGUUCGGGUUGUCAUGCCAAUGGCACUGCCCGGUAGCUAAAUGCGGAAGAGAUAAGUGCUGAAAGCAUCUAAGCACGAAACUUGCCCCGAG
rnacentral:rRNA from 1 species